rnacentral:rRNA from 1 species
GACGAACGCUGGCGGCGUGCUUAACACAUGCAAGUCGAACGGAAACGCCCUGCGUCUGUGGGCUGCUGGAUUGGCGAACGGGUGAGUAACACGUGAGUAACCUGCCCUAGACUUUGGGAUAACUUCAGGAAACCGGGGCUAAUACCGGAUAGGAGCCCCUGCUGCAGGGUAGGGGUGGGAAAGUUUCGGCGGUUGGGGCUGGACUCGCGGCUUUUCAGCUUGCUGGUGGGGGAGUGGCUUACCCAGGCUUUGGCGGGUAGCCGGCCUGAGAGGGUGAGCAGCCACAUUGGGACUGGGAUACGGCGCAGAGUAGUACGGGAGGCAGCAGUGGGGAGGCUUGCACGAUGAGCGGAAGCCGGAUGCAGCAGCGCGGCGGGCGUGAUGACGGACUUCGGGGUGGAAAGCGCUGUAGCCUGUGACGCAGCGUGAGUGACGGUAACGGGUAAAGAAGCACCGGCUAACUACGUG